rnacentral:lncRNA from 1 species
AAAAACAAGUUUUAAUGGAUGCUGAAAAUAAUACUGGCUAUCAUUUAUUGAUAUAUGCCAGGUAAUAAGUGAGAUGCGUUUCACAUAUUAAGUUACUGCUCUAAUAAUUUCUUGCAACAUAAUAUCCUUAUUUAUUACCUAUCUACUUAUACAUAUCCUCUAAACACAUAGUAUUGAAUAUGGUCUCCUCUAGGUGAUAUGGCCAAAUAUGAUCAAGUAAAAUAUCUUAUCCUCAAAAAACUCUUCUUCUCACUUUUUAAGACAAACUGAACUGCUUCCAAAUAGCCUCAAUUACCUGGAUCCCAACAGUCAAGAAUUGUUGUUAAGGCACUUCGGAGAAGGUCAGUCCAAGCAGUACGGCUCUUUUCUGCCCGGGCCAUGGGAGAAGAUAAUAUUCCUUUUAGAGCCUGUAGGGAAGCUGCAACUGUCGAAGAUAACUGGCCCCCAGGUAGGUCAAGUCAAGCAAUCACAUACCACAGCAUACCUUCAGGAGAGCACACUGCAGGAAGUUCGGAAAGGAUAACCAAUGCAGCUGAAACCAAUCUACUUCCAUCUUCUAAUAGUAUCUGUGGCUUCGUAGCUUUUACUCCUGGGCUACCUGUCAAUUUAGGGUUUAAUUCUGGGAGCUGUCUAACUAGAAUGCAUACACACAAUUCCAGUGUUGCAAAGACCAAAGACUUUCCAGGCACAAGUCCUCCGGUGUCCUUUCCCUCUCCAAACUCUGGCAGAGUUUCCUUUUCAGCAGCCCCAUCAUCAACUAAAAGAAAGAAUAGUGUUUAAUACUUUGUGCUUGCUCUGCUUCUGGUAGAUGGCAAUUUAGUUAAAUCCUGUUACAGGAAAUACAUGUAU